rnacentral:rRNA from 1 species
AUUGAACGCUGGCGGCAGGCCUAACACAUGCAAGUCGAACGAGCGGCGGACGGGUGAGUAAUGUCUGGGAAACUGCCUGAUGGAGGGGGAUAACUACUGGAAACGGUAGCUAAUACCGCAUCCCAUAGGAUGAGCCCAGAUGGGAUGAGCUAGUAGGUGGGGUAACGGCUCACCUAGGCGACGAUCCCUCGCUGGUCUGAGAGGAUGACCAGCCACACUGGAACUGAGACACGGUCCAGACUCCUACGGGAGGCAGCAGUGGGGAAUAUUGCACAAUGGGCGCAAGCCUGAUGCAGCCAUGCCGCGUGUAUGAAGAAGGCCUUCGGGUUGUAAAGUACUUGCAGCUGGGAGGCGUUACCCGCAGAAGAAGCACCGGCUAACUCCGUGCCAGCAGCCGCGGUAAUUC